ensembl:lncRNA HULC hepatocellular carcinoma up-regulated long non-coding RNA
GCUGCCCCAGCCAGCGUUGGCAACCUGCUUGGGUCCCCUUCUCCACUGUGGAAGCUUUGUUCUUUUGCUCUUUGCAAUAAAUCUUGCUACUGCUCACUCUUUGGGUCCACGCUGCUUUUAUGAGCUGUAACACUCACCAUGAAGAUCUGCAGCUUCGCUCCUGAGCCAGCGAGACCACGAACCUACCAGAAGGAAGAAACUCCGAACACAUCUGAAUAUCAGAAGGGACAGACUCCAGACGCGCCACCUUAAGAGCUGUAACACUCACCGCGAGGGUCUGCGGCUUCAUUCUUGAAGUCAGUGAGACCAAGAACCCACCAAUUCCGGACACACUAACCUUGGUAUCUGAAAUGUUAUCUUGUUUGGAAAUAGGGUUUCUGCAAAUGUAAUCAAAUUAAGAUGAGGUCAUGCUUGAGUACGGUCGCCCUUAAUCCAACAUGACUGGUAUCUGUAAGAAGAGAGAAAUGCCAAAUGAAUGUGGAGACACACACAGGAAUACCAGGUGACAACAGAAGCAGAUAUUGAAGAGAUGCAGCUGCAAGCCAAGAAACACUAAGGAUUGGAGGCCACCUGCAGAAACUAGAAAAAGGCUGGAGUGCGAUGGCGCGAUCUCUACUCACUGCAACCUCCAUCUCCUGGGUUCAAGCAAUUCUCCCUCAGCCUCCCGAGUAGCUAGGACUACAGCCAGCAAGGGAGACAGUGUCUAGAGGCAGUCAUCUAGCAAGAUGGAGACUUACAACAUGAGGCACAUACAAGAGUGACCUCCCAUCGUCUUUGAGGCAUUCUAUUUCUUAGCCUCCCUCUGGAGCGAAGUGGCAUAAUCUCGGCUCACUGCAACCUCUGCCUCCCAGGUUCAAGCGAUUCUCAUGUCUCGGCCUCUUGAGUAACUGGGAUUACAGGUGUCUUUGUGAAGCUUCCUAUCUUUGCUUUUCAACUAAGAUGAAACAGCAUUUAAAAGAAAAUGCCAUGUGAGAUGAGAUCAGGAGAAUGGAUUCUUUCUUUCAUCUGAAUAGAGAGCUGCUGUUCGAGGUAACUUUCAGCUUUUAUUUUGUUUGGACACAAUUGUCAAAAUGUUUAACUCUUCCUUUCCAGAAUUUGUCAUUUGUGAAAAAAGAUUGGUGACUGGCAAAUAAUUCUACUGAUGUUAAUGAACACAGAUCUGAUGAAGCAAACUCAGUAUUAUUUUGAGAUAAUACAAUCGUGCAGAAGUAACCAACUAGACUUUUUACCUCCUUUUUACAGUGGGGAGCAGACACAAACUACAUCAAUUUGGUCUAUUGAGCCAGAAAUAUGAAAUAUGACAAAUAGCUGUGUUUUUUAAGCUUGAAACCAAAUAAAUUACAAACUCCCUGAAGAAUUAUACACUUGAGCUCUUUUAGGUAACCUCUGGAUCCUCAGAACCUAUUUUAUGGCUUUGGAAGCUGUUAAAACAAGUCAUCAAGUGUUUUUGGGUCAAGGCAUAUAGUUCAAAGAAAACAAAAACUAUCUGGCUUGCUUGUGUAACAGUGGGAAACAUAAGGGAAAAGUGUGUUGGGCUGGGCGCAGUGGCUCAUGCCUGUAAUCCCAGCACUUUGGGAGGCAGAGGUAGAUGGAUCACCUGAGGUCAGGAGUUCGAGACCAGCCUGGCCAACAUGGUGAAACCCCAUUUCUACUAAAAAUACACAAAAAUGAGCCGGGCAUGGUGGCAGGCAUCUGUAAUCCCACCUACUCGGGAGGCUAAGGCAGGAGAAUCGCUUGAACCCGGGAGGUGGAAGUUGCAGUGAGCCAAUAUUGUGCCACUGUACUCCAGCAUGGGUGACAAGAGCAAAACUCCAUCUCAAAAAAAAAAAAA